rnacentral:misc_RNA from 1 species
UUGAUUAUCAUGCGCUUAG